GAUUUUUCCACAGUACUUUCCCCAUAAGCGUCCUUCAGCAUUAUCUCCAUCAAUCACUUCAACAUAAUCAUACCUGCAGUCGCGGUCCUCCAGGUCGAAGUGGGGGUUGAAGUUGAUCAUGAUCCGCUGGUAGGGCUCCGGAGCCUGGAUCAGCCACUCGCAUUUCUGGCUGGGGUGGUAGGACUGGGGGUAGCCGGGAGAGGUGAGGUACCCGGGGCUUAAAAUUUUGAUCGUGUCGCCGCAC